CCUGUGUAGCAUGGUCCCUGGGCAGUGUGGUCCUGGGGCAGCAUGGUCCCUGGGCAGCAUGGUCCCUGGGCAGCGUGGUCCCUGGGCAGCGUGGUCCUGGGACAGCGUGGUCCCUGGGCAGUGUGGUCCCUGGGCAGCGUGGUCCUGGGGCAGCGUGGUCCCUGGGCAGUGUGGUCCCUGGGCAGUGUGACCCCUGGUAGCAUGGUCCCUGGGCAGCAUGGUCCCUGUGCAGCAUGAUCCCUGGGCAGCGUGGUCCUGGGGCAGCAUGGUCCCUGGACACUGUGGCGGUGCUCUGUGGAUCCCGGAAUCCCCUAUGUCCAUGUCUCUCCUGACACAGGAAGACCCCGCUCCACUCUGGCGUCUCAGCCUCUUGUUUGCCUGCAGGACACCGUGAGUAGCACCCGCCAUGUUGUAAUGAGCUUCUGGAGUAACUGAAGCUGAGCUGCCCGGUGGUCACUGCCCUCCCUGGGGCUUUGGCUUCCACAAGAGCAAGGUCAAGCCUUGGGACUCUGCAGCACAUGCUGGUGGGACACUGUGAGGUGGGGUCCUUGGGGGAGCAUCGCCUGACCCCCACCUGCAAUCCUCCUCUUCCGCCUGCUGCUGUGGGCUUGGUAGUGAGGCCUGGGGCACUUCCGAGGUCCACAGGGACACAGGCUGGCCAGGGAGCAGGCCUCCACAGCACUCUGGCUGCGUCCCCAUAGGCUGGAGCCCUGGGGUCAGAGCCGUCCUGACCCGGGUCCUGCCCAAGGGCCCACCUCUGCUCUGCUGCGCCAGAGACCACGCCUUCAGCACGAGCUGUGGGCGCCAGUCCACCCCAGAGCUGCCGUUUUGCUGGAUUUCCAGCCUCUAGCCUUCAACCUGAGAGGGAGCCCCGUUGGUGUGGACUUGCUGCGGCAUCCUCAGGAGGUGCAGCUGGGGCUGCCCCAGAGGCUCACGUGAGUCAGCGCAGGGGAGCUCAGGGUGGACGCUGGCCAGGGAGAGCCCUAACCCGGGCAGCGCGUCGGCCCCUGGUGGCGACUGACUAGGUGCUGACUGUGGGUGUGCCUGUGGGUGUCCAUCUUGUCCUGGUUGAGGAGAGCGUCCCUCUGCCUCCUGACCACGUCCGGAGCUGCUUCCCUGCUCCACACUGCGCCUCGGUGCUCUCCUCACCUGGGCCCCAGGGCGGGGACCUCUGAAGCUGCAAGCCCAGUGAAGUCCCCUCCUCCAGCUGCUUUCGUCAGUUCUUUGGGUUCAGAAGCAAAAAACCCCAACACGUGCAGCCUCAAAAAGGGACCCAGAGGGCCACCAGCCCUGUACCCCUGCCCCCAAAGGCACCCUCCUGAGUAACUGUGGUGCAAUAUCAUGACAGGAAACGGCCAUCCAUAAGGCCACUACUGGCUGCCGCCACCAGCAUCACGCACCGUGCUGGUGUGCAUCAGCCCCGAGCAGCAGCCUCACACACCCAGAGGCCACUGAGCGAGCACCCAGGGGCCUCCUGCUGCCCUCUGCCUUGGCCACCCUCCCCCUGCACCACCUGUGACCACUGGGCUCUCCUCCACCUCCGUGGCUACUGCUUAGGAACUUCCCACUGCCUGGUCAUCCUCAUGCCCCCUGAGGUCACCCAACCUUCUGUGACAAUGGUUUGUCCUGAUUGUGGCUGAGCAGGAGCCCACAGUGGGGGACAAGGGGCUGGACCCCUCACCUGCAGAAGGGCAUGGAGACUGCAGCCUGGAGCCCCCUGGCCAGGAUGGUGUGGACGCUGCCUGUGGGUCUCUGAACCUCGACUUCCUCUCCCUCUCUGGGGUGGACGCUCAGGGUGCGGCCCCCCGUGGUGGGGACAGGUUCAGUUGGGGAGAAUUUUGAUGUCUUCCUGGUGAACUGAAAGGUAAUGGCAUGCAUCAGAGACUCCUUUCUCAUAAUAAUCCAGCUCUCAAAUAUAAGGAACAGUAAAGUGGAAGUUUAAAAUAUUAAUAUCUUUUCGUAAAUGCUUGCAUCUAUGAUCCUGGGCUGACAAUUUUAAUGACUUUUUAUCUGCAAAAGUCUUCACCCUUUUUUGCACAGCAGAGAGCUGAAUCGAAAUGAAAAACGGAACCGGACAGUUUUUACACUGCCAAGUUCUAUCAGCCUCCGUUUUCUGCGGCUGCGGAUACAUUUUAAUCAUCUUUACGUCUCAUCCACCCUUGAUUUCUUUUUGUUCUGAAGUUUCCAUGCCAUGUCAUUCCCUGCCUCAUUUUAAAUUGCUUACAUAUUUAAAGUCUGGCUCCUUCCUCUCUGUCUCAGAAGCACACACACCUACGGUCUAUUUUUACCCCUCAGAAUUUAGAAUAAAAUUGGAACUCGGCAUCUAGA